rnacentral:rRNA from 1 species
UACGUAGGGGGCAAGCGUUGUUCGGAAUUACUGGGCGUAAAGGGCGCGUAGGCGGCAUGGCAAGUCGGGAGUGAAAGGCCUGGGCUCAACCGAGGAACUGCUUUCGAGACUGCCAAGCUAGAGUGCGGAAGGGGCAUCUGGAAUUCCCAGUGUAGCGGUGAAAUGCGUAGAUACUGGGAGGAACACCGGUGGCGAAGGCGGCUACCUGGACCGGUUCUGACGCUGAUGCGCGAAAGCGUGGGUAGCAAACAGG